rnacentral:rRNA from 2 species
AGACCCGAAACCCGGUGAUCUAGCCAUGGGCAGGUUGAAGGUUGGGUAACACUAACUGGAGGACCGAACCGACUAAUGUUGAAAAAUUAGCGGAUGACCUGUGGCUGGGGGUGAAAGGCCAAUCAAACCGGGAGAUAGCUGGUUCUCCCCGAAAGCUAUUUAGGUAGCGCCUCGUGAAUUCAUCUCCGGGGGUAGAGCACUGUUUCGGCUAGGGGGCCAUCCCGGCUUACCAACCCGAUGCAAACUGCGAAUACCGGAGAAUGUUAUCACGGGAGACACACGGCGGGUGCUAACGUCCGUCGUGAAGAGGGAAACAACCCAGACCGCCAGCUAAGGUCCCAAAGUCAUGGUUAAGUGGGAAACGAUGUGGGAAGGCCCAGACAGCCAGGAUGUUGGCUUAGAAGCAGCCAUCAUUUAAAGAAAGCGUAAUAGCUCACUGGUCGAGUCGGCCUGCGCGGAAGAUGUAACGGGGCUAAACCAUGCACCGAAGCUGCGGCAGCGAACGUAUCACCCAAGACAACUUUACGGAGUUGACGAUUGACGGAGCGAAGCGACGUCAAAGCGUUCAUUAAAGUCGAGUUGGCUUAGGGAUACGUUCGUUGGGUAGGGGAGCGUUCUGUAAGCCUGUGAAGGUGUGUCGUGAGGCAUGCUGGAGGUAUCAGAAGUGCGAAUGCUGACAUAAGUAAC